GAUGCGGAGGACAGCCCGGAGAGGAGGCGCAGAGGGAAGGGUUCGGGUGCCCCCUCCCUUCGUCUUGGGGGCCCUAGGAUCGGUCUGGGGCACCGAACCUCGGCGGCUUGUGCGGGCUUCUGAGCACCAGCGGGGAGCUAGACGGAGGAAGCCUCCGGGAUCGACCUAUUCACCUUUGCCACCAACCCACCAAAGUCCAGUCUUUUUCUUUUUAAAAUGCAGCCACUUCUGAAGUUGAGUUCAGCAGUGAACUUUCCAGAGCAUCUUCCCACAAAAAGAUUUUAGAAGUCAUUUCUGUAGUUUUGACGCAGGUUUGGAAUCAGCUAUACCAUCCAUGGGACCCUUACACCCACCUUGCUUUUAUUGUUAGGUUUCUCCUACAAUUUAAUAAUUGUAUUAAAGGCACGAUCCGACAGGA